UUUCCCGGCCGGAUGAUCGCGCCGCCGCACCGCAAGGUCGGCGCCGAGGAAAGUCCGGGCUCCAUGGACAGACUGCCAGGUAACACCUGGGCACCUCGGUGACGGAUAGUGCCACAGAGAACAGACCGCCCCGCGCAAGCGAGGGUAAGGGUGAAAAGGUGGGGUAAGAGCCCACCGCGUUCGUGGUAACACGAAUGGCACGGCAAACCCCAGUCGGAGCAAGGCCGAAUAGGCGGCGAGGAGCAGUCCUCUUCGAUCAAGACGCCGCGGGUAGGCUGCUAGAGGGCGCGGGCGACCGCGUUCCGAGAGAAAUGAUCAUCCGAAGCAACACGCUUCGACAGAACCCGGCUUAUAGGCCGGGAAACUCG
rnacentral:RNase_P_RNA from 1 species